rnacentral:misc_RNA from 1 species
CCCCUCGCCCUAUUUAUCGCUCUCCCUGCGUUCCCCCUCCCUCCCCGACCCAAGUGAUCCACCGCUCAGAGUUAUUGAAAAAUUAUUAUAAAUAACAAUUAUAUCGUAUUAUUGUAUGUGUGUGUGUGUGAUUUUGUUGGUAGCAUACUAGCUAAAAUGCUUAUUAAGUCUACUUAAUUGAGCGAUCAUCCUCAAUUAAGCUAUCAUUUUAUCUUCAUCGCUAUCGACGGUUAGGCGAUAACUUAGAUAAAAUAUAGACACCAACGAAUAUCACCGUUUAUAUUCAAUUCAUAUGAAUAAAUACAUUCGCUUAUCAUCAUCAUUUCAUUUAUCUAUCUAUCUAACUAACUACCAACUACUACCAACUAUUCAUCUAUCAAUCUAUCAAACAUCCAUCAUUCAUUCUUUCUUUCUCCUUCUUUCGUUCUUUGUUAAAGAAAGAAAGAAAGAAGAAAAAAGAAGUAGGAAGAUAAAUAAGUGUAGGGGUAGUAAGAAGAGGA